rnacentral:rRNA from 1 species
CCUACGGGAGGCAGCAGUGAGGAAUAUUGGUCAAUGGGCUUACGCCUGAACCAGCCAAGUCGCGUGAGGGAAGACUGCCCUAUGGGUUGUAAACCUCUUUUGUCAGGGAGCAACGCCGGCUACGUGUAGCCGGACUGAGAGUACCUGAAGAAAAAGCAUCGGCUAACUCCGUGCCAGCAGCCGCGGUAAUACGGAGGAUGGGAGCGUUAUCCGGAUUUAUUGGGUUUAAAGGGUGCGUAGGCGGAGGGCCAAGUCAGCGGGAAAAUCGCGGGGCUCAACCUCGCUCCGCCGUUGAAACUGGCGUUCUUGAGUGGGCGAGAGGUGUGCGGAAUGCGUGGUGUAGCGGUGAAAUGCAUAGAUAUCACGCAGAACUCCGAUUGCGAAGGCAGCAUACCGGCGCCCAACUGACGCUGAAGCACGAAAGCGUGGGUAUCGAACAGGAUUAGAUACCCGGGUAGUC